GGCUAGGUGGGGGUCCUCUUCCUCCCUCCCUCGUCCGUGUGAGUCCCUCCCAAAGCACACUCAGACAAACAGGAUGGACUUCCCCAGCACAGGAGGACCUUCAAGGGUACAGGGGUAGCCGUGCUCCCCUGAUACAACCUCUGAAACAAGCUCUCAAGGUCUCUGCCACUUCAAUAGUGACGCACGGGGAGCCACAUUUCUAGCAUAUGAAAUUCUGAGGGAUACACUCAAAUCUU
rnacentral:sRNA from 1 species